rnacentral:tRNA from 1 species
GCUUUGGUGGCUCAGGGAUAAAAUUCUUGCCUUCUACGCAGAAGACCUGGGUUCACAUCCCGGCCAACGUA